CGGCAUAUAAUGAGGAUAUUCUUGAAGAACCCGUAAACUUUGAGGAUCUAGCAAAGGGGAAGUACAACAGAGAUGUCAGGCUAGGGCAAGGAGUGCCUGCUGUUCCGGUGAUUAACUAUGUGUGCACCGAGAUCAAGAAAGCAGCUGACGAGAGCCAGUCUAUCCUGGAGAAGACACCGGUUGGAACUGGCAAUGAUGAUGGUUCACUACGAGCAUUCCUCAAGCGUCAGGCCAAGAAGUUAAGGCGGUUAUCGAACCUUCUCGGUUGUCGUGAUCCUGA